rnacentral:piRNA from 1 species
GGAAGGGAGCAGGACGUUGAACUUGG